rnacentral:lncRNA from 1 species
CUUCCCGUCGGUACCCAGGAGGGAGCACAGCCUGCAAUGGCCGCCUUAUCUCACCCUCGCCCAUGGCCCCGCAGACAUGAGGUCAGGGCCGGGGAUGUAAUGAGGGUGGGAGGUGGGAGGCAGUGGAGGGUCAGGGAGAGGUCAGAGGUCGCUGGCAAAGCUGUUGCUGCACUUUGGAGGUGAGGGUGGGGGGCAAAGCAGACCCUUAAGGGACCUCAGCCAGGCCCCAGGGCUGGGGGUGGCAAGAGGUUCGUGUCAUCACAGUGUGGCCGGGUCAGGGGAACAGGGACAGGUGCCCCAGGCCAGGGGAGAGAGGGCCCCAAACCCCAGCCCCUUCCAGAAUCUUAUCUCCAGGGGAGAGAGGGACCCAGAUUAGGAUUUUCUAUCUAAGACAGUCCACACCCCUACCCCUUCCAGAAUCUUAUUUCCAGGGAAGGGAGGGCCCCAGAUUAGAAUCUCCGAUCUGAGCCUGUCCUCACUCCCAACCCCUUCCAGAAUCUUCUUUCCAGAGGAGAGAGGGCCCCAGAUUAUGAUUUUCGAUCUGAGACAGUCCACACCCCUACCCCUUCCAGAAUCUUCUUUCCAGGGGAGAGAGGACCCCAGAUUAGGAUCUCCGAUCUGAGACGGUA